rnacentral:sRNA from 2 species
GGUAUUCCUUAUCUAUCUAGUUCGUUGAUUUAUCUGGAACCUGUCCCAUUGCACUCUCCAGUAAGAAUGCAAUAAGACAGGUUCUGCGUUUAGUUGCCGCGCACAUUAAAGGC